ACUGUUUCUUAAUGCACCUGAUCUCUUCUGAUCUCGGAAGCUAAGCAGUUGGGCCUGGUUAGUACUUGGAUGGGAUACUGAAAUAUUAUACCAAGCACAGUU
rnacentral:rRNA from 1 species